CCUACGGGGGGCAGCAGUAGGGAAUCUUCCACAAUGGGCGAAAGCCUGAUGGAGCAACGCCGCGUGGGUGAAGAAGGUCUUCGGAUCGUAAAACCCUGUUGUUAGAGAAGAAAGUGCGUGAGAGUAACUGUUCACGUUUCGACGGUAUCUAACCAGAAAGCCACGGCUAACUACGUGCCAGCAGCCGCGGUAAUACGUAGGUGGCAAGAGUUAUCCGGAUUUAUUGGGCGUAAAGGGAACGCAGGCGGUCUGUUAAGUCAGAUGUGAAAGCCUUCGGCUUAACCGGAGUAGUGCAUUGGAAACUGGGAGACGUGAGUGCAGAAGAGGAGAGUGGAACUCAAUGUGUAGCGGUGAAAUGCGUAGAUAUAUGGAAGAACACCAGUGGCGAAAGCGGCUCUCUGGUCUGUAACGGACGCUGAGGUUCGAAAGCGUGGGUAGCAAACAGGAUUAGAUACCCGUGUAGUC
rnacentral:rRNA from 1 species